CUUCAAAACUAAGAGCUAAUAGUAGAAUUGGAACGAUACAGAGUAGAUUAGCAUGACUCCUGAGCAAGGAUGACACGCGAAAUCGUAAAGCGUUCCAUAUUUUC
rnacentral:snRNA from 1 species